GCCUUGAGUUCAGGGGACUGGACUAGAUGACCUCUCGAGGUCCCUUCCAGUUCUAUGAUUCUAUGAAAAUGGGCCCAAUUGGGCCACAAGAACAACAAGCUGAACCUAGGAUCAAAAACACAACAGCCUGGAUCCACAAAGGGAGUUAGGCAGUGCAACCCCUUGAAAAUUACUGGCUUCCACAAAGUCUGAGUUAGCUGCCUAGGCUUCCUAUAUAAUGAAUGGAAAGAGAGAGGGGCACCUGAGAAUGCCAGCACACUAAAUGGCCCUAAACUAGCCAAGGGGAGACACUGAUGGGGGCGGGGGGUGUGCACUAAGUCCCUCCCCUCUCAGGGAGUUUGGUGCCUAUCUCUGCUUGUGCUCCACACCCAGAAACCCCACUUCUGGAGUUGGGCAGCUUAGGUGCCUUAGCCACUUCUUGUGAGAAUAUUUUAGGUCUAACACCAUACAAAAUAGUAGGGAGUCAAAAGAAAGAGGUAGCAUAACCUUUAGCCCACUGGGAGAGUACUCACCUGGGAUGUCAGAGAUCUUGCUUUAAUUUCCCCCUUGGCCUGAUAAGGAAAAGGGAUAUGAACAAGGGCUGUGCAGCUCUCAAGAGCACACCCUAACCACCAGAUGAUGGGCUAUUCUGAUGUGGGUGUCUCUUAAUCUCUUAUUGGAGCCAUUCCACAUAUUUUAAAAAAAUUACAUAUUAAUUAAGCCAAAGACAGAGCAAGAAUGAUUUUAUAGCCCAGGGGUUGGGGUAUGUACCUGGGCGGUGAGAGAGCCCUUUUCAAAUGUCUUCUCCUCAGACACAGGGGAGAAUUGAACCUGGGUCUCCCACAUCCCAGUUGACUGCUCUACCAAUUGGACUAAAGAUGAUAAGAGAGGCCUUAUUCUUUCCCACACCCACACCCAUUUUGUGAGGUGUGAAGAUGCUUAGUGCACACCUACUGGAUCCUGUUCUGUGAGAAAGCUAGGCAGAGGAACACCUAUCUUCUCAUGGUUUGAGGAGCUCACUGGGGCUUAGGCAUGAAAUAGGCGUCCAGACACCUGCCUGUGGCAGCAGUGCAUAUAUCCAGAGGCAGAAAGUUGGGCAUGUAGGGGACUUUUACAGCAACCAUUUAGGCACAGAGUGGGUAUAUGUGCCUAUAGCCUUAGGCAGCAGCUGAGCAGAUGUUUUGUGGAUUGCAGGGCUCCUAAAGCUGGACUUUGCAUGAAUGCUUUAUGGCUCCCUAGCAGCUAAGAAUUUCAGACUGAAGAUCCUGGAAGUGGCACCAUUACCUUCCCAAGCCUGCCUGCCUGCAAAAAAACAACUCCAGAGAAAACAACCACGCAGUGCAUCCAAAAACAAAUUUAAUACGAGGAGGCCUGAGGCUUGGCUUCUCAACAGUAUGACUUUAAAAUAUCUCCAGCCUGUUAUCCACAUGAGUCAUCUUUCAAGAAAGGGUAUGUAAUGGAAAGCAUCAGGGUUUACUUCCCCACACUCAAAUCUGUUCUGGAGGAACUGCCUUUAUGGUAUGAGAAGCUAACUCAAUAUCCAUUCUCUUUAAUCCGUCACCUCUCUGCUGUGAGUGCCAAAAGAGUGCCUCCAAUUCUGAAUGUGACUGUUGUAAAGUGAACAUCUGGCUAUUAGGAACUGGACUGAAACCACCAACUUAUUUCAUAUAAGCACCUGACAGCUGUCAGAUGGGAAUAGGGAUUGGUCACUAGUAUUGCCUUUGACCAUAUGUGAACCAGUUCAUUACCAAUCCCCUGAACCAUCUGGUCCUCCAUGUCUUUUUGUAUCCCCCACCCCCAUAAUCAAUUGUACCUCUCCUAGGUUUGGCAGCAUGUUGAAAUGUUUUGUUUCAAUUUUGACCUUUUUCAAUGUUUAACUUCAUUAGUAUAAAUCAACUAGAAUUUCUAAACAAAAAGUUGCUUCAAAUAAAAAAACUCUUAAACUUUAGUUUGAAAAUGUUGAAGUAGGGUGUUUUGACAAUUUCUAAACUUUUGAUUACACGGUCAGGACGCUGGAGCUCUUGAGUUCUAGUUCCAAUCUGACAGUAAGUUUCUGCAUGGUCUUGAGCAAGUCACUCAGACUCAGUUGCCUGUGUCAGAAAGUGUUGUGAGGGCUUGUCAAUGUUUAUUCCGCAGGUUGAAUAUGUCAAUCACUAUGGGUGAGAUUUUCAAAAGUAACUAUGGGUAGGUCUACACUGCAAUGUCAGCCCAAGGUUAGUAGAACUCAAGUUAGCACACCCUGGGUUUGUUAACCUAGGGCUUAAGCAUCUACACUUGUCUGUAACCCCAGGUUAGGAAUUGUUGAACCCUGGAUCCCAGCCUGGGGCUCCAGCGUCUACACUGUGUUUUUGUGGGCCUGAGUCCUGCCACCCGUAUCCCAAAGUUCCUAGCAUUCUCCUUAAAUAUGGCCUCUCUAGCCAUUUGUUCAUGGUGCAGUAGGAAAGCUUGAUAGUCCACCAAACUUGACUGUACAGAAGACAAAGAAAGUCAGCCCAUGGAAUUGUGAAAUACCUUUGCAGACUUAGAG